rnacentral:rRNA from 1 species
GUUAAGCGACUAAGCGUACACGGUGGAUGCCCUGGCAGUCAGAGGCGAUGAAGGACGUGCUAAUCUGCGAUAAGCGUCGGUAAGGUGAUAUGAACCGUUAUAACCGGCGAUUUCCGAAUGGGGAAACCCAGUGUGUUUCGACACACUAUCAUUAACUGAAUCCAUAGGUUAAUGAGGCGAACCGGGGGAACUGAAACAUCUAAGUACCCCGAGGAAAAGAAAUCAACCGAGAUUCCCCCAGUAGCGGCGAGCGAACGGGGAGCAGCCCAGAGCCUGAAUCAGUGUGUGUGUUAGUGGAAGCGUCUGGAAAGGCGCGCGAUACAGGGUGACAGCCCCGUACACAAAAAUGCACAUGCUGUGAGCUCGAUGAGUAGGGCGGGACACGUGGUAUCCUGUCUGAAUAUGGGGGGACCAUCCUCCAAGGCUAAAUACUCCUGACUGACCGAUAGUGAACCAGUACCGUGAGGGAAAGGCGAAAAGAACCCCGGCGAGGGGAGUGAAAAAGAACCUGAAACCGUGUACGUACAAGCAGUGGGAGCACGCUUAGGCGUGUGACUGCGUACCUUUUGUAUAAUGGGUCAGCGACUUAUAUUCUGUAGCAAGGUUAACCGAAUAGGGGAGCCGAAGGGAAACCGAGUCUUAACUGGGCGUUAAGUUGCAGGGUAUAGACCCGAAACCCGGUGAUCUAGCCAUGGGCAGGUUGAAGGUUGGGUAACACUAACUGGAGGACCGAACCGACUAAUGUUGAAAAAUUAGCGGAUGACUUGUGGCUGGGGGUGAAAGGCCAAUCAAACCGGGAGAUAGCUGGUUCUCCCCGAAAGCUAUUUAGGUAGCGCCUCGUGAAUUCAUCUCCGGGGGUAGAGCACUGUUUCGGCAAGGGGGUCAUCCCGACUUACCAACCCGAUGCAAACUGCGAAUACCGGAGAAUGUUAUCACGGGAGACACACGGCGGGUGCUAACGUCCGUCGUGAAGAGGGAAACAACCCAGACCGCCAGCUAAGGUCCCAAAGUCAUGGUUAAGUGGGAAACGAUGUGGGAAGGCCCAGACAGCCAGGAUGUUGGCUUAGAAGCAGCCAUCAUUUAAAGAAAGCGUAAUAGCUCACUGGUCGAGUCGGCCUGCGCGGAAGAUGUAACGGGGCUAAACCAUGCACCGAAGCUGCGGCAGCGACGCUUAUGCGUUGUUGGGUAGGGGAGCGUUCUGUAAGCCUGUGAAGGUGUGCUGUGAGGCAUGCUGGAGGUAUCAGAAGUGCGAAUGCUGACAUAAGUAACGAUAAAGCGGGUGAAAAGCCCGCUCGCCGGAAGACCAAGGGUUCCUGUCCAACGUUA